GUGCUCACUUGGGCAGCACUUAUACUACAACUGGAACAUACACAGGAGAUUAGUAUGGCCCCUGUGCAAGGAAGACACGCAAAUUCGUAAAGCAUUCCAUAUUUUU